rnacentral:tRNA from 1 species
GGGUUUGUAGCUCAACUGGCAGAGCGGCCGACUUCUAAUCGGCGGGUUCCGGGUUCGAGUCCCGGCAGACCUA